rnacentral:misc_RNA from 1 species
CGAAAUUUCAAAUAAAAUCUGUUGAAAUUGAUAAAACAAAAAGAUUUGCUAGGAGUGUUGGUCUCAUUGUUGAAAUAAAAGGCACAAGAUGGGAUUUUUUGAUGGCUUGCCUGUUCCUCCUGAUAAUUGAGGGGGGAGCUUUCACAAAUAGAUGAGAGUUGGGCUGCUGCACGUUUUGAUUCAUUACCUCAUGUUGUCCAUAUUUUGACAUCAAAAGAUCGUGAAGGUGAGGUC